AUUGAACGCUGGCGGCAGGCUUAACACAUGCAAGUCGAGCGGGGUGAUGGUGCUUGCACUAUCACUUAGCGGCGGACGGGUGAGUAAUGCUUAGGAAUCUGCCUAUUAGUGGGGGACAACAUCUCGAAAGGGAUGCUAAUACCGCAUACGUCCUACGGGAGAAAGCAGGGGAUCACUUGUGACCUUGCGCUAAUAGAUGAGCCUAAGUCGGAUUAGCUAGUUGGUGGGGUAAAGGCCUACCAAGGCGACGAUCUGUAGCGGGUCGGAGAGGAUGAGCCGCCACACUGGGACUGAGACACGGCCCAGACUCCUACGGGAGGCAGAAGUGGGAAUAUUGGACAAUAGGGGGAACCCUGAUCCAGCCAUGCCGCGUGUGUGAAGAAGGCCUUAUGGUUGUAAAGCACUUUAAGCGAGGAGGAGGCUCUUUUGGUUAAUACCCAAGAUGAGUGGACGAUACUCGCAGAAUAAGCACCGGCUAACUCUGUGCCAGCCGCCGCGGUAA
rnacentral:rRNA from 1 species